rnacentral:rRNA from 1 species
GACGAACGCUGGCGGCGUGCUUAACACAUGCAAGUCGAACGGAAAGGCCCUGCUUGUGUGGGGUGCUCGAGUGGCGAACGGGUGAGUAACACGUGAGUAACCUGCCCUUGACUUUGGGAUAACUUCAGGAAACUGGGGCUAAUACCGGAUAGGAGCUCCUGCUGCAUGGUGGGGGUUGGAAAGUUUCGGCGGGUGGGGAUGGACUCGCGGCUUAUGAGCUUGUUGGUGGGGUAGUGGCUUACCAAGGCUUUGACGGGUAGCCGGCCUGAGAGGGUGAACGGCCACAAUGGGACUGAGAGACGGCCCAGACUCCUAUGGUAGGCAGCAGUGGGGAAUAUUGCACAAUGGGCGGAAGCCUGAUGCAGCAACGCCGCGUGCGGGAUGACGGCCUUCGGGUUGUAAACCGCUUUCGCCUGUGACGAAGCGUGAGUGACGGUAAUGGGUAAAGAAGCACCGGCUAACUACGUG